CCUACGGGAGGCUGCAGUGGGGAAUAUUGGACAAUGGGCGAAAGCCUGAUCCAGCCAUGCCGCGUGUGUGGAGAAGGCCUUCGGGUUGUAAAGCACUUUCAGUGGGGAAGAAAGCCUUGGGGCUAAUACCCUCGAGGAAGGACAUCACCCACAGAAGAAGCACCGGCUAACUCCGUGCCAGCAGCCGCGGUAAUACGGAGGGUGCGAGCGUUAAUCGGAAUUACUGGGCGUAAAGCGCGCGUAGGCGGUCUGAUAAGCCGGUUGUGAAAGCCCCGGGCUCAACCUGGGAACGGCAUCCGGAACUGUCAGGCUAGAGUGCAGGAGAGGAAGGUAGAAUUCCCGGUGUAGCGGUGAAAUGCGUAGAGAUCGGGAGGAAUACCAGUGGCGAAGGCGGCCUUCUGGACUGACACUGACGCUGAGGUGCGAAAGCGUGGGUAGCAAACAGGAUUAGAUACCCCUGUAGUC
rnacentral:rRNA from 1 species